UCCCUGGUUGUCCAGUGGUUGGGACUCUGUCCUCCCAAUGCAGAGGGCAUAGGUUCAAUCCCUGGUCAGGGAA
rnacentral:tRNA from 1 species